GAUGAAGAACGCAGUGAAAUGCGAUAAGUAAUGUGAAUUGCAGAUUUCAGUGAAUCAUCGAAUCUUUGAACGCACCUUGCGCCCGCCAGUAUUCUGGCGGGCAUGCCUGUUCGAGCGUCAUUACAACCCUCAGGCCCCCGGGCCUGGCGUUGGGGAUCGGCGGAAGCCCCCUGUGGGCACACGCCGUCCCUCAAAUACAGUGGCGGUCCCGCCGCAGCUUCCAUUGCGUAGUAGCUAACACCUCGCAACUGGAGAGCGGCGCGGCCAUGCCGUAAAACACCCAACUUCUGAAUGUUGACCUCGAAUCAGGUAGGAAUACCCGCUGAACUUAAGCAUAUCAAUAAGCGGAGGA
rnacentral:misc_RNA from 1 species